AACCACCUCGCAGGCCGUUCCUCUCGAUCCCCUCCCAUCACCGCUGCCGUUCCUCUCGAUCCCCUCCCGUCGCCGUCGUCGUCCUCUCGAUCCCCUCGAGUAAGCGGCGCCGUAGUUGGCUCCCAUUCCUCUCGAUCCCCUCUCGUCGAUGCUGCCGCCCUCUCGAUCCCCUCCCGUCGCCGCCGCCGUCCUCUCGACCCCCUCAAGUAAGCGGCGCCUCCGUUGGCUCCUGAUCUCCUCCAUGGCGGAUUCCCACGGACGCCGCGGUAUGGCAUGGUCGCGUUAAUCGCAUGGAGGGUCGCGUCGAGGAAAGCGACGACCUCGCAGGCAUCGGGUUAAGCGGCUGGCCCUUCUUACGCGAUUGCGCUGAUCUUUUCUUCACCGGCAGAGAUUGGUGCCGCCACGGCCGCAUCAUGGAUUUUGCCCUGCAUCGCCUCUGAUUUGGGAGUUUGUUUUUUUUGCGCUGGAUCCUGAUUUGGGCGGGAUUUUUUUCCCAGGCAUUGAGCGCGCUCUGGACGGCGGGAACUGUCCCGUGAAGGAGGACGCUAUGGACGGUGGAUCCAGGGCGCUACAUGUCGCUGUCGGCCACGGGAGGAUGCCAUACCCUUUGGGCACAACAAACUCCUUGCCAUAGCCUCUUCCGCUUUUCACAACAAGAAAGAGAUGCAUAUGAGAGGAAGAGAGCCUCCCCCAAGCUCUGUCUAGGCGAUGCACGGGAAAUUUGGAAACUAUCAAGGAGAUGUCGAAUGAUGAAUAUACUCAGACACUGAGACACAUUCUAAAACAUGUUUACGUAGGUGAUGGGGCUGCCGCCAACUUGGGCCCGCUCAAGAAUGGCCACUCUACAGGAGGGGGAUGGAGUCGCGGAAGCUCCUGUGCUAUUGGGAGCGACGGUUCCACAAUGAGCCGGUCUUUCGUCACCUCUGAGUUGGAGGAUGUCCAAGGCCGGAAGUGUUCGUCACCACUAAGCCGCGGUAAGUAAGGAAUUUUCCAGAGAGUGGUGGAUGAAUUUUUUUCUCCAAAUGGUGGUGGAUCUAUGCAUGU